rnacentral:rRNA from 1 species
CCUACGGGUGGCAGCAGUGGGGAAUAUUGCACAAUGGGGGAAACCCUGAUGCAGCGACGCCGCGUGAGUGAAGCAGUAUCUCGGUAUGUAAAGCUCUAUUAGCAGGGGAGAAAAUGACGGUACCUGAUUAAGAAGCCCCGGCUAACUACGUGCCAGCAGCCGCGGUAAUACGUAGGGGGCAGGCAUAAUCCGGAUUGACUGGGUGUAAAGGGAGCGUAUACGGCAGCGCAAGUCUGAAGUGAAAUGCCGGGGCUUAACCCCGGAACUGCUGUGGAAACUGUGCAGCUAGAGUGCAGGAGAGGUAAGCGGAAUUCGUAGUGUAGCGGUGAAAUGCGUAGAUAUUAGGAGGAACCCCAGUGGCGAAGGCGGCUUACUGGACUGUAACUGACGUUGAGGCUCGAAAGCGUGGGGAGCAAACAGGAUUAGAUACCCCAGUAGUC